rnacentral:tRNA from 1 species
GGUGGCUCAGUGGUAGAGUGCUUGUCUUGCAUGCCAGAGACCCUGGGUUCGAUUCCUCAGCACCA